UGGGGAAUAUUGGGCAAUGGGCGAAAGCCUUACCCAGCAACGCCGCGUGAGGGAAGAAGGUUUUCGGAUUGUAAACCUCUGUCCUGGGGGACGAAGGAAGUGACGGUACCCCGGGAGGAAGCCCCGGCCUAACUACGUGCCAGCAGCCGCGGUAAUACGUAGGGGGCGAGCGGUUGUCCGGAAUUAUUGGGCGUAAAGGGCGCGUAGACGGCCGAGUAAGUUAUAGGUGAAAGCCCAUCUUUCAAGGAUGGAAUUGCCUGUAAUACUGCCUGGCUUGAGUGCAGGAGAGGGAAGCGGAAUUCCUAGUGUAGCGGUGAAAUGCGUAGAUAUUAGGAGGAACACCAGUGGCGAAGGCGGCCUGCUGGGCUUUAAACUGACGCUGAGGCUCGAAAGCGUGGGUAGCAAACAGGAUUAGAUACC
rnacentral:rRNA from 1 species